rnacentral:rRNA from 1 species
GACGAACGCUGGCGGCGUGCUUAACACAUGCAAGUCGUGCGGUAAGGCCCUUUCGGGGGUACACGAGCGGCGCACGGGUGAGUAACACGUGAGCAACCUGCCCUUCACUUUGGGAUAACUGCCGGAAACGGUGGCUAAUACCGGAUAUGACUUCCUCACGCAUGUGGGGUGGUGGAAAGCCUUCGGGUGGUGGGGGAUGGGCUCGCGGUCUAUCAGCUUGUUGGUGGGGUGAUGGCCUACCAAGGCUUCGACGGGUAGCCGGCCUGAGAGGGUGACCGGCCACACUGGUACUGAGAAACGGACCAGAAUCCUACGGGAGGCAGCAGUGGGGAAUAUUGGACAAUGGCCGAACGCCUGAUCCAGCAACGCCGCGUGAGGGAUGACGGCCUUCGGGUUGUAAACCUCUUUCGCCUGCGACGAAGCGAGAGUGACGGUAGCAGGUAAAGAAGCACCGGCCAACUACGUG